rnacentral:rRNA from 1 species
UACGUAGGGGGCUAGCGUUGUCCGGAAUCAUUGGGCGUAAAGGGCGCGUAGGCGGCCUGCUAAGUCAUACGUGAAAUCCCUCGGCUCAACCGGGGAACUGCGUGUGAUACUGGCGGGCUUGAAUCCGGGAGAGGAAUGCGGAAUUCCAGGUGUAGCGGUGAAAUGCGUAGAUAUCUGGAGGAACACCGGUGGCGAAGGCGGCAUUCUGGACCGGCAUUGACGCUGAGGCGCGAAAGCCAGGGGAGCAAACGGG